UCUGUGCAGGGCUUUGAUCUAAUUGACAGA
rnacentral:piRNA from 1 species